CAUUUAUUAGAUAAAAAGCCAGUUCAUGCUUUUACAGUAUGAAAAUUGGUGAUUUAUAAUAACUUAGCAAAUCGCAAAGUGAAAACAGGCGAUAAAUCAUUCAAGUUUCUGACCUAUCAGCUUUCGACGGUAUGGUAUUGGCUUACCGUGGCAGUGACGGUUAACGGGGGAUUAGGGUUCGAUUCCGGAGAGGGAGCCUGAGAAACGGCUACCACAUCUAAGGAAGGCAGCAGGCGCGCAAAUUACCCAAUUCUAACAGUUUGAGAGAGGUAGUAACAAGAAAUAACAAUACAAGGCAGUUAAAAUGCUUUGUAAUUGGAAUGAUAGAAAUUUAAACCCUUUUUAAAGUAUCAAUUGGAGGGCAAGUCUGGUGCCAGCAGCCGCGGUAAUUCCAGCUCCAAUAGCGUAUAUUAAAAUUGUUGCAGUUAAAAAGCUCGUAGUUGAAGUUCUGCUGAAAGUAACCGGUCUGCUUUUAAUAAAAGUGGUAUCUUGGUAUGUAUUUAGCAAUGAUGUCCUUUGAAGUGUUUUUUACUUUAUUGUAAUAAAGCAUAUUCAGGACUUUUACUUUGAGAAAAUUAGAGUGUUUCUAGCAGGCUGACGCUUUGAAUACUGCAGAGG
rnacentral:rRNA from 1 species